rnacentral:rRNA from 1 species
CUACGGGUUGCUGCAGUGGGGAAUAUUGCACAAUGGGCGCAAGCCUGAUGCAGCCAUGCCGCGUGUGUGAAGAAGGCCUUCGGGUUGUAAAGUACUUUCAGCGGGGAGGAAGGGAGUAAAGCUAAUACCUUUGCUCAUUGACGUUACCCGCAGAAGAAGCACCGGCUAACUCCGUGCCAGCAGCCGCGGUAAUACGGAGGGUGCAAGCGUUAAUCGGAAUUACUGGGCGUAAAGCGCACGCAGGCGGUUUGUUAAGUCAGAUGUGAAAUCCCCGGGCUCAACCUGGGAACUGCAUCUGAUACUGGCAAGCUUGAGUCUCGUAGAGGGGGGUAGAAUUCCAGGUGUAGCGGUGAAAUGCGUAGAGAUUUGGAGGAAUACCGGUGGCGAAGGCGGCCCCCUGGACGAAGACUGACGCUCAGGUGCGAAAGCGUGGGGAGCAAACAGGAUUAGAUACCCGAGUAGUC